AGAGGAAGUAAAAGUCGUAACAAGGUCUCCGUAGGUGAACCUGCGGAGGGAUCAUUACCGAGUGCGCGCCCCCCGGGGCCGACCUCCAACCCAUUGUUAUCCGACCACGUUGCCUCGGGGGCGACCCGGCCGUUUGGCCCCGGGGCCCCCGGUGGAAACCCAUCAAAACCCUGCAUCUCUGGCGUCUGAGUAGAAAUUGAAUCAAUCAAAACUUUCAACAACGGAUCUCUUGGUUCUGGCAUCGAUGAAGAACGCAGCGAAAUGCGAUAAGUAAUGUGAAUUGCAGAAUUCAGUGAAUCAUCGAAUCUUUGAACGCACAUUGCGCCCCCUGGCAUUCCGGGGGGCAUGCCUGUUCGAGCGUCAUUACACCACUCAAGCCUCGCUUGGUAUUGGGGGCCGCGGGAGACCGCGCCCCUUAAAGUCACCGGCUGGACCGUCCGUCUCUACGCGUUGUGGCAACUAUCCGCGAGCGAGACCGGGCGACCCGGCCGUUAAACCCCCCAUCAUAGGUUGACCUCGGAUCAGGUAGG
rnacentral:rRNA from 2 species